GUACUUAUCUCGCAGGGGAGAAUCGGUGGUCACGAUGGCCGAUCUCCCAGGCGAAGGUUAUCCCAUUGCACCUCAGGUGUGCUGAUGCCUGCAAUGUCCCCAAAUACGGGAUCCUCGACUGCAAAGUUUGUGAUAGUGAGGGACUGCGAUUUUCUUUCUUUUU